GAUGAACGCUGGCGGCGUGCCUAAUACAUGCAAGUCGAGCGAACAGACGAGGAGCUUGCUCCUCUGACGUUAGCGGCGGACGGGUGAGUAACACGUGGAUAACCUACCUAUAAGACUGGGAUAACUUCGGGAAACCUGAUCUAAUACCGGAUAAUAUAUUGAACCGCAUGGUUCAAUAGUGAAAGACGGUUUUGCUGUCACUUAUAGAUGGAUCCGCGCCGCAUUAGCUAGUUGGUAAGGUAACGGCUUACCAAGGCAACGAUGCGUAGCCGACCUGAGAGGGUGAUCGGCCACACUGGAACUGAGACACGGUCCAGACUCCUACGGGAGGCAGCAGUAGGGAAUCUUCCGCAAUGGGCGAAAGCCUGACGGAGCAACGCCGCGUGAGUGAUGAAGGUCUUCGGAUCGUAAAACUCUGUUAUUAGGGAAGAACAAAUGUGUAAGUAACUAUGCACGUCUUGACGGUACCUAAUCAGAAAGCCACGGCUAACUACGUG
rnacentral:rRNA from 1 species